rnacentral:misc_RNA from 1 species
AAGUCGUAACAAGGUUUCCGUAGGUGAACCUGCGGAAGGAUCAUUACACUUAGUAGAUCUCUACUACUCAGGGGAGAGGGGAAAGUUUUCAGCUUAGCUGCUGGAACAAGUACGCUCUCUAUCUGAACCCUUGUCUUUUUGCGUACUCUUGUUUCCUCGGUGGGCCUGCCCGCCGGUUGGACAACUUCAUAACCUUUUUAAUUUUCAAUCAGCGUCUGAACAAUUAUAAUAAUUACAA